UAUCUUCACUACUGCAAAGCAGGACUACACAGAGAAGAUCCUGGAUGUCCUGGACCCUCAGAAGAAGCUGAUCAGGUGACUGUCCCAGGCAAGAGGGUUACUACGUGAAGGACCUUUCCAUCCUGGAGAGAGACCUGGCCAGGACAGUGGCCCUGGAUGAUUCCCUCCAAGGGUUCCCUUACCAGAUUUCCAACUGGAUCCCGAUCCCCGGCUGGCUGGGGGACCGCCAGGACGAGGAGUUGCUACGCGUUCUCCCACUGCUGGGGAAGCUUAGCCAAGUGGGUGAUGUCCGCACUGAAAUCCGGAGGAAAUACCGUCUCUGCAAGCUACUGGCUGUAGACUGAUGUCUGCCCAGGGACUAAGUGUAGAGGGGAAAAGCCUUCCCAGAAGUCUGUCCUGAUGGGCUGCUCUCAAAGGUCCCAGGCACAAAGCUUGCGGCAAGGCAAACGUUCGCUCUUCUCCUACCUACUCUCUCCUUCUCCACAUACACCCCGCUGGGAAAACUGAGCUUGGCAACCUAACGUGAGCACAGAGGGCAGCUUUCUAAAGGGGAAAUCCAAGUCUGACCCCCAACUUUCAAGAGUUACAGUUCAGAAGUUACUAGUGCCUUUGAGUAUCUCAGUUUUGGGGGGGGUCCAACUUGAGAACCUCUUAAAGAGGGCUGGGCUGUUUUUUACCCACCGUCUGACAAAUCAGGCCCCUUAAAUGUGUCCUAGAUGGGUACCUGGACUCAUAAGUUUAUUAAGAAAAUCUUGGUGUGUAUAUUAACCCAAAAAAAGACUCUUCGAAAACUUCCCCUUUACUUAGUGCUCUUCAAACUAGGAGGAGACAAAGGAAGCUUCCCUCUGCAAAGCAACAACUUCCCUGCAGACCUUUGCAACCCAAGAAUUGCAGCAAGGUCCCAAUGUUUGAGAACCUGAGUGAAACAGACUAGAAACAAAAGUUGAAACUGACCGGCCUCUGAGCUGAGAGAAAUACAAAUGGCUGAAGGUAAACUCCACUUAAAUUCUGUUGUCAUCUUUGUAUUAAGCUGGGCUGUUUGUAUUGGCUUUGAAACUGGUGUCCUUAGAACAGUUUUUAAAAAAACAACCUUUGAGACAAUUUGUUCAGCCAGAGGACUGCAUUUAAGGCUUGUUGUUCCAGAGUGGCUACAGUCGAGUAUCUCUGAGUGUGUGCUGGGCCCAGGGCAAUGGUCGCUGGCUUGUGCAGCUCUGCCCACUGCUAAGAUUCUCUAGUGGUGCAUUCACACCUGCCUCUUGUCUUUGUAGCUCACCUCCUGAAUUCUUCCAACUCAGCACUUCCUCCCCCUGCCUCAAAACAACUCAAGGCCUCCCUCUUCUCCCAGGGUGGGUCAGUGGAGAGCAAGCCAGGCUCUCCCUGUAGCCACUCCGGGGGCUGAUUGAGUGUGGGUGGGCCCUGAUGGGAGAGGAAUUUGCAGCCAGCCUUAGCUUUCAGUUUUCAAUCUGUGUGCCCCUGUCUUGCCAACAUGCCCCCCCUCCCCCAUGCUGGGAACUGAGCCACUUGGGUUAGCAGGCUGGCACAGGCAACCCUGGGAGCUUGGCACUCUCUGAUCACAUAGUCUGGGUUCUGCAGUGAGCCACGGGCACUUCAAAGCCAUAACAGCAGCUAGUGCUGUGUUCAGCAAGGCCAUCCCCAAGGCCAAGGAGCUGGGGUGGGUCAGCGGUUGACCAUCCAACUCAGCUGGGCCAAGGAGCUCUUUCCAGGCCAAAUAUUGGUAUUCUUCCCUCCCUGCCCCCCAGACACCUCCCUCAUGAUCAUCCAUGUGCAAGGCUGGUGUGUAACCCUUGUGCCUGGUUCUGCCAAGCCUGGGGUGGCGUUAGAGAGAGAUUUUUGUGUGUUGGGUCCUCUCCAUGUUUUUAA